rnacentral:lncRNA from 1 species
ACAGUUCGGCACAAUUGUCUGGCUAAUCCUAUCCAGUCUAACAACAUACAGAAUCUAAGGUGACUCAGGAAUGGAGAGCAAAGGGCCCAAUUCAUCCUGGUCAGGACAAGCAGGAAACUCAUAUCCAGCAGCCAGCUCAGAAGGAUCAAUGUACCACUGUGGCUACUUUUGAGGGUAGUGGUACUCUUUCAGCUUCAAUUCAUGACAAGCAGAAAACUCAUAUCCAGCAGCCAAAUCAGAAAGAACAAUGUACCACUGUGGCUACAUUUGAGGAAGUGAAAAAACAAAAGGGUAUUGAUACUCUUUCAGCUCCAGUCUUUAACACCAAAAACUUUCCACCCUUAUCCCCUGUUGUGAUGGCAAAUAGAUUUGAAAUAGGGUCAGUAAGUUG